CGGGGAAGGAGGAACUUAACAAGGGAUUCCCCUAGUAACUGCGAGUGAAGCGGGAAAAGCUCAAAUUUAAAAUCUGGCAGUCUUUGAUUGUCCGAGUUGUAAUCUAGAGAAGUGUUAUCCGCGCUGGACCGUGUACAAGUCUCCUGGAAUGGAGCGUCAUAGAGGGUGAGAAUCCCGUCUUUGACACGGACUGCCAGGGCUUUGUGAUGCGCUCUCGAAGAGUCGAGUUGUUUGGGAAUGCAGCUCAAAAUGGGUGGUAAAUUCCAUCUAAAGCUAAAUAUUGGCGAGAGACCGAUAGCGAACAAGUACCGUGAGGGAAAGAUGAAAAGAACUUUGGAAAGAGAGUUAAACAGUACGUGAAAUUGCUGAAAGGGAAACGCUUGAAGUCAGUCGCAUUGUUUGAGAAUCAACCUUGCUUUUGCGUGGUGUACUUUUCAGAUAAUGGGUCAGCAUCAAUUUUGACCGUUGGAUAAAGUCUGAAGGAAUGUGGCAUCUUCGGAUGUGUUAUAGCCUUUAGUCGUAUACAACGGUUGGGAUUGAGGAACUCAGCACGCCGCAAGGCCGGGUACUUGUACCACGUUCGUGCUUAGGAUGCUGGCAUAAUGGCUUUAAUCGACCCGUCUUGAAACACGGACCAAGGAGUCUAACAUGCCUGCGAGUAUUUGGGUGGAAAACCCGAGUGCGUAAUGAAAGUGAAAGUUGAGAUCCCUGUCAUGGGGAGCAUCGACGCCCGGACCAGACCUUUUGUGACGGAUCUGCGGUAGAGCAUGUAUGUUGGGACCCGAAAGAUGGUGAACUAUGCCUGAAUAGGGUGAAGCCAGAGGAAACUCUGGUGGAGGCUCGUAGCGAUUCUGACGUGCAAAUCGAUCGUCAAAUUUGGGUAUAGGGGCGAAAGACUAAUCGAACCAUCCCGGUCUC
rnacentral:rRNA from 1 species